rnacentral:rRNA from 1 species
UACGUAGGGUGCGAGCGUUAAUCGAAAUUACUGGGCGUAAAGCGUGCGCAGGCGGUCUGUUAAGACCGAUGUGAAAUCCCCGGGCUUAACCUGGGAACUGCAUUGGUGACUGGCAGGCUUUGAGUGUGGCAGAGGGAGGUAGAAUUCCACGUGUAGCAGUGAAAUGCGUAGAGAUGUGGAGGAACACCGAUGGCGAAGGCAGCCCCCUGGGCUAACACUGACGCUCAGGCACGAAAGCGUGGGGAGCAAACAGG